CGUGUUUGUUUCCUAUACCACGUUACUCUUAAGUUGGCUGUGAUUUGGCUGGUUGUAUGAUAAUAUCAGUUAAAUGACACCAACUACAUAGUGAUAGUGAACAGCAUAUAAAACAUAA
rnacentral:precursor_RNA from 10 species